ACAUAAGUGUUAUGUGCACACACCACCUUUUCUAUAAGGGACUUGACUAUAUAUGGAUUCUGGAAUCUUCUAGGUGUUCUAGAACUCUUCUUCUAAGAGGGAAGGCUAUCCUGCCUCUGUGUCCCUCCCAAACAUGAGCCCCUGCCUCCUCAUUACCACGGAUGUCAUAAGAAUUUCCAUAAGAUGCCAUGAAACCCCUGGUCUAAUAUGAGAACUCUGUGGGUUUAGGUUCACUAAGGGAGGGGCUUGUCUUUUAAUAGUGGCUCCUUCCAAGAGGGUUGGCAGGAGGAACUUGACAGAUGGCACGCCAUUUCCACAUUCUAGUUAGCUCCCCUGUCAAGGUGACAGUCAUGGUGUCACAGGCUGUCAGGUGUGGCCACUACAGCUCCUUGUACUGGAGCCUGGAGCCUACCCUUGUCUGUGAGGAGAAGGUGAAGCUUGGAGACCCAUCGACUUUGAAGAUUCUUUAAGCCAGGAAGGCCAAAGACCUCAACCCCUUGCUGACCUGGCUGACACUCAGUUGCUUCCCCCAAAGCCCCUUGUCUCUGCUUGUGAUCCAGCAAUAAAGGAGGGGACAGGAUGUGGCCAACGGGUGCAUGGAAGGUGUGUCCAGGUGAUCGGAAGGUGACACGAGGAACCUGGGAGGAACAAGGAGUGUCACUGGAUCUUGUACAGUGCCAGCAACUUCAGGAGGCUCCUUUGCAAUGGUCACAGCAGUCUAGCAAAUGGGAUGAAGGCCAUCUGUGGAGUUCUUUGGAGCGGCGGCCAGAUAACCAGGUCAGCGUGACCUUGGGAAAGUCGCUGGCAUUUUCUCAGAGUCACUUCUCAUAUCUAACAUGUGAGACACGUUAUAGUAUAUGUGUUAUAAUACAGCAUAACGUGUUAUAAUAAACUGUGGCCUUUGCUGGUGUGGCUGGUGUGAGCGGGAAACUGCCUAGGGGGCUCAGCUCAGUGUGUGGAAGACAGAGUAUACUAGAUAUGGGUGUGCAAACUUGAUGCCAGCAUUUCCAAUAUAUAUAUACAUACAUAUAUAUACAC